UACGAGGGGGGGCAAGCGUUGUUCGGAAUUAUUGGGCGUAAAGGGUGCGUAGGCGGUUUGGUAAGUCUUAUGUGAAAUCUACAGGCUCAACUUGUAGUCUGCAUGAGAAACUGCCGGGCUUGAGUAUGGGAGAGGUGAGUGGAAUUCCUGGUGUAGCGGUGAAAUGCGUAGAUAUCAGGAGGAACACCUGUGGCGAAAGCGGCUCACUGGACCAUAACUGACGCUGAUGCACGAAAGCUAGGGGAGCGAACGGG
rnacentral:rRNA from 1 species